rnacentral:rRNA from 2 species
GAUGGUGCUUGCACCUGAUUGACGAUGGAUUACCAGUGAGUGGCGGACGGGUGAGUAACACGUAGGUACCUGCCCCGGAGCGGGGGAUAACAUUUGGAAACAGAUGCUAAUACCGCAAACAACAAAAGCCACAUGGCUUUUGUUUGAAAGAUGGCUUUGGCUAUCACUCUGGGAUGGACCUGCGGUGCAUUAGCUAGUUGGUAAGGUAACGGCUUACCAAGGCGAUGAUGCAUAGCCAAGUUGAGAGACUGAUCGGCCACAAUGGAACUGAGACACGGUCCAUACUCCUACGGGAGGCAGCAGUAGGGAAUCUUCCACAAUGGGCGCAAGCCUGAUGGAGCAACACCGCGUGAGUGAAGAAGGGUUUCGGCUCGUAAAGCUCUGUUGUUGGAGAAGAACGUGCGUGAGAGUAACUGUUCACGCAGUGACGGUAUCCAACCAGAAAGUCACGGCUAACUACGUGCCAGCAGCCGCGGUAAUACGUAGGUGGCAAGCGUUAUCCGGAUUUAUUGGGCGUAAAGCGAGCGCAGGCGGUUGCUUAGGUCUGAUGUGAAAGCCUUCGGCUUAACCGAAGAAGUGCAUCGGAAACCGGGCGACUUGAGUGCAGAAGAGGACAGUGGAACUCCAUGUGUAGCGGUGGAAUGCGUAGAUUUAUGGAAGAACACCAGUGGCGAAGGCGGCUGUCUGGUCUGCAACUGACGCUGAGGCUCGAAAGCAUGGGUAGCGAACAGGAUUAGAUACCCUGGUAGUCCAUGCCGUAAACGAUGAGUGCUAGGUGUUGGAGGGUUUCCGCCCUUCAGUGCCGGAGCUAACGCAUUAAGCACUCCGCCUGGGGAGUACGACCGCAAGGUUGAAACUCAAAGGAAUUGACGGGGGCCCGCACAAGCGGUGGAGCAUGUGGUUUAAUUCGAAGCUACGCGAAGAACCUUACCAGGUCUUGACAUCUUGCGCUAACCUUAGAGAUAAGGCGUUCCCUUCGGGGACGCAAUGACAGGUGGUGCAUGGUCGUCGUCAGCUCGUGUCGUGAGAUGUUGGGUUAAGUCCCGCAACGAGCGCAACCCUUGUUACUAGUUGCCAGCAUUAAGUUGGGCACUCUAGUGAGACUGCCGGUGACAAACCGGAGGAAGGUGGGGACGACGUCAGAUCAUCAUGCCCCUUAUGACCUGGGCUACACACGUGCUACAAUGGACGGUACAACGAGUCGCAAGCUCGCGAGAGUAAGCUAAUCUCUUAAAGCCGUUCUCAGUUCGGACUGUAGGCUGCAACUCGCCUACACGAAGUCGGAAUCGCUAGUAAUCGCGGAUCAGCAUGCCGCGGUGAAUACGUUCCCGGGCCUUGUACACACCGCCCGUCACACCAUGGGAGUUUGUAACGC